ACAAAACAGAAAGUACGCAGAUUAUGGAUACACUUCAAGAAUAUAUAUUUGGCACUUUAAAUUUUCGAGUAUGUAGGUCCGUACCCGAAGAUAUCAAAUGUUUGUGUAUAGAUUAUGUUUUACAAAGUAAAUUUGGUGAAGAAAUCAUUGUAAAUACAAUAUUUCAUAGCGUGGCUAGAAAACUUGGUCUACGUUGCGAUGUAGUAGAUAUUUGGUCUCACUGCUGUAUAUCUUGGAAACCAGAAUUCGUCACGAAUAAUUUAGAAAAUGCAAGAUGUUUUUACAUAAAAGACGAGAAAUUCCCGAAUUGUCUUCAUAAUUAUCUGCAAAAUUACGAUUCUUAUAAAACAUAUGACUUCAGCAAAAUAAAAACUGAACAGAUGUCGUACAUGAUAAAAAAUUUAGUUGAUAAGUUUAUAAAAAAACAUAAAAUAUUCAAAUUGGGAUUAAUCCAAGGGAUUUGUAAUGUGUAAGAAACAUCCGCGCGCUAACAUAAUCGCAUAUUAGUAUAUAUACCAUUGUAAAAAUAAAGAGCAUUAUCAAUCUACAGAUUCGGACCAACAUAAUAGAUAAUAGGAUGUUAUUGACAUAUACAUAGAUACAUACACAUGUUCGGCAAUUGAGAAUCAACGAUGAAUAAAAUAUAUCUAUUAUUUUUCUGCGA